GCAAGCAGUUCAAAGCAGAGGAAUCCAUCAAUAUAUCCAUUUCCUCCCAAAGUAAAUCGACUCCUUGAUUGAGCAUUACUUGUUGAGUUAUUAUUCAUUGAUACAUCAGUUUAUACAGUUUGUUGUGAUAACUAUGGAAGAAGCUGUAGUUUGGUUUUAUCUUUGUCUUCACCGGCACUGGGAUGAAGAUAGGAAUUCUGGCAAUGAUGCUAAAAAAAAAUUAUGUAACAUUCCAACAGGUACUAAGAAAACAAUUUUCUGAACAAUUUACAUUAUCCUGAAGAGAAUUAUUAAAUAUAAU
rnacentral:lncRNA from 1 species